CCAACUUUUGUGAAUGCAUAAUUUAUUUUCUAAUGAAGAGGAAGGGUGAGAUCAAAUCCAUGAUGGCCGCUUGGCGCUUUCCCGCUUAUUCUGUUCCUUUCAUCCUUUUAUUAGUGCCGGAGGAUUUUCUCAGCUACAGCCCUACAGGUGGCGUUGUCAUAUCAACAGUGAACAGUCAAUUGUUGGCAGCUGGACCUGCCACUUCGACCUGGGACUGCUGGGACGUUCCAUCUGCAGGAUCUGAUCAGUGCAGAAUUAGUUCAUUAUUGAUCUAGCUCUUUGGGAAGCUUCACCUGGGUCCGCUAGACGAAGCCUCUGGUGUAACAACAGGAUGGAGAGCCACGUUUGCACAUUCCUGAAAGGUCAAUCUCAUGGUCGUUUCCACUUCCUUCGUCGAAGAGGAAUUUAACGACGCUAUCACAUUAAUAGAAGUGGACAGGCGAUAGACUAUAAAUCGUUGACAAUAAGCAGUGUGCUGGAUUCUUGCGUUUACCGAAAUGCUGCAGCGGAUGCGAUAGGAUCGGCGGCAACAACUUCCCUCGAUCGGUAGAUUUCACGUGGAUCCAACGCUGGACUCAAUGCCGAAUUCACUACCGCAGUCUGCUGCUGCUGUGUAAUCGAUCAUCAAGUUGGGGGCAUAGCUCAGUGGUAGAGCAUCCAUCCGGAUUGUCCCCUUUUCAAUCCCGAUUGCCCCCUGACCGUCUACCAAUCCGGAUGUGCCAUGACAGUGGAGCAGGUUCCUUUUGUGUCAUGAAUUUUGGAUUGCUGCCAUCUAUCCGUCAAACUCUUCACUCGAGAAUUGUACUGGCCCUGACUGCUGCGGACUACAUUUGAUUUUAUUAGUCAAGAAAUGCCGACUGUUUACAUUUGGCGGCCACAUGGAGAGGAGAACCCGUACGGACACGUCACCCUGGCAACCGAUAAAUAUUACGUCAGCUUUUGGACGGCUCAAGUUCUAGAGUCUGACGACAGCGAUGAGGACAUUCAGGAGGAAAGCAAAUCCAAAAGAUUGAAAAGAAAAUUGACUGAUUUUACGAAUGCAGUUGGGGUUUUCAUGGGACAUCGAGGGGGUCUCGUCCUCCACCAAGACCUCGACAAGGAAUACGAAGGCGAACAGGAUCUCGUCGAAUAUCAAAUCGACGCAAUAGUCACAGAUGAAGACGACAAUUCCAUUUACGAAGAAUUUCAAUUCCAAAUCGAAAAAAGCCUUGGGAUGAUCUGGAAUAGAGAAAUUUCACCACUACCCUCAAUCCAAUUUUUGGUCGAGCACGCAAAUGACGAUGUUUGAUGGAGUUUAGUUGAGUUGAAUAAAAUUCCUGUUUGAAUCUUC